UACGGGGGGAGCAAGCGUUGUUCGGAUUUACUGGGCGUAAAGGGCGGGUAGGCGGCGUGAUAAGUCACUUGUGAAAUCUCUGGGCUCAACUCAGAACGGCCAAGUGAUACUGUCGUGCUAGAGUGCAGAAGGGGCAACUGGAAUUCUCGGUGUAGCGGUGAAAUGCGUAGAUAUCGAGAGGAACACCUGCGGCGAAGGCGGGUUGCUGGGCUGACACUGACGCUGAACUGCGAAAGCUAGGGGAGCGAACGGG
rnacentral:rRNA from 1 species